rnacentral:misc_RNA from 1 species
AGUUGGUCCUGUGGAAUGGUUAAAGCCCUAUACUGAUGAGACAAUCGUUGAACUUGGAAGAAAAGGGGUGAAGAAUCUUCUUGCUGUCCCAAUUAGCUUUGUUAGUGAGCACAUUGAAACUCUUGAGGAAAUUGAUGUUGAGUAUAAAGAGUUGGCUCUUAAGUCUGGUAUAGAAAAAUGGGGACGUGUCCCUGCACUAGGAUGUGAACAAACCUUCAUUUCAGAUUUGGCAGCUGCUGUAAUUGAGUCUCUUCCAUAUGUUGGAGCUAUGGCAGUCUCAAAUCUUGAAGCUCGACAGUCUUUAGUUCCACUCGGCAGUGUGGAGGAACUGUUGGCGACAUACGAUUCAAAGCGCAGGGAGUUACCACCACCGGUGACUGUGUGGGAAUGGGGUUGGACAAGAAGUGCGGAGACUUGGAAUGGAAGAGCUGCUAUGUUGGCCGUUCUUGUUCUAUUGGCACUUGAAGUCACCACCGGCAAGGGGUUGCUACACCAGUGGGGCAUAUUGCCCUUGUUUCAUUGACUAAGAAUGUACAUAAAUUGCACCAAAUGUAAAUUUUGUCCCUGGAAGGCCAUUCAUAUGCAAAUUUAGUGGAUAUUGGGCAUUACUUCCUCCCCAACUAACAUGUUACAUUUGGGGUUAUAGACAUAUGGUAUAGUUGCAGCUGAAUAAUAAAUCUGAGGAAGGAGGGGAAAAAAAUAUAUUAUAUAUGUAUUAUUUUG